GAAUUAAUUGAUGUUGUUCUCUUCCCUGCAUCAAGUUUAACUGUAGUAUUUAAGAAGUAAAGAACUGCCAGCAGAGCCAGCUCUUCCAGUCUGUAGCUCUACCAUUGCCAUCAAUCCUGGUUUUGAUCUACUUGUGGCACUAGCUAUGGGCUGUGGAAAGAACCUCAGAAAGAUAGUAGACUGAUUGAAUGCAAUAUAUUACAUAGACAAAGCAGUAACUAGUUGUGAAGCACUUUUUCAGGGGGAAUAUCUGCACUCUGUUAGAUCUCACCCACCAGAAAUAUUUGUGGGACUCAAACUGCUGGUGCCACCUAUCACAUGAAUUUUGUGAUCCAGCAGCUAUACAUAUAUAUUCCACUGGAAGCAGUGUUCUCGCAAUUGAAUGCAUAGGUAAAAAUAUAGACAAUGAUUUUUUGAAGAUGAGAAGCAGAACGGUGAGUUUAAUGUUGAUCCCCAAGAUAAUUUACUAGAAUAUUUUUAUUAAUUUGAAGACAAACCAGAGUUAAGUAAGACAGGAGAUAGAAAAUCGUACAAUAUUAAUGUCCUAGGACACCUUCAAGACAUCUUUGUUCAUUUAGCCGUUUUCAAACUGCAAUCCUAUGUACCCAGAGAGUUUUGGCAACAGUUAAG
rnacentral:lncRNA from 10 species